GCGAACGCUGGCGGCAGGCUUAACACAUGCAAGUCGAGCGCCCCGCAAGGGGAGCGGCAGACGGGUGAGUAACACGUGGGAACGUGCCUUUUGGUUCGGAACAACACAGGGAAACUUGUGCUAAUACCGGAUAAGCCCUUACGGGGAAAGAUUUAUCGCCAAAAGAUCGGCCCGCGUCUGAUUAGCUAGUUGGUGGGGUAAUGGCCCACCAAGGCUACGAUCAGUAGCUGGUCUGAGAGGAUGAUCAGCCACACUGGGACUGAGACACGGCCCAGACUCCUACGGGAGGCAGCAGUGGGGAAUAUUGGACAAUGGGCGCAAGCCUGAUCCAGCCAUGCCGCGUGAGUGAUGAAGGCCUUAGGGCUGUAAAGCUCUUUCGUCGGGGAAGAUAAUGACGGUACCCGAAGAAGAGGCCCCGGCUAACUUCGU
rnacentral:rRNA from 1 species